rnacentral:rRNA from 1 species
CCUACGGGCGGCAGCAGUAGGGAAUAUUGCUCAAUGGGGGAAACCCUGAAGCAGCAACGCCGCGUGGAGGAUGAAGGUUUUCGGAUUGUAAACUCCUUUUGUUAGAGAAGAUAAUGACGGUAUCUAACGAAUAAGCACCGGCUAACUCCGUGCCAGCAGCCGCGGUAAUACGGAGGGUGCAAGCGUUACUCGGAAUCACUGGGCGUAAAGAGCGCGUAGGCGGGAUAGCAAGUCAGAUGCGAAAUCCUAUGGCUUAACCAUAGAACUGCAUUUGAAACUGUUAUUCUAGAGUAUGGGAGAGGUAGGUGGAAUUCUUGGUGUAGGGGUGAAAUGCGUAGAGAUCAAGAGGAAUACUCAUUGCGAAGGCGACCUGCUAGAACAUGACUGACGCUGAUGCGCGAAAGCGUGGGGAGCAAACAGGAUUAGAUACCCCUGUAGUC